GCACGAGAACUCUUCUGCUUGCAGAAUAUAGUAAAGUGGCGCACGGGUGAGUAACGCGUGGGUAAUCUACCUCUGAAUUGGGGAUAACAUUGUGAAAGCGAUGUAAUACCGAAUAAUAUCCCGAGAACUUAGGCUUUUGGGAUCAAAGGUGGCCUCUACAUGUAAGCUACUGUUUAGAGAUGAGCCCGCGUACCAUUAGCUUGUUGGUAGGGUAAUGGCCUACCAAGGCAACGAUGGUUAGCUGGUCUGAGAGGAUGAUCAGCCACACUGGAACUGACACACGGUCCCAGACUCCUACGGGAGGCAGCAGUAGGGAAUAUUGCGCAAUGGACGCAAGUCUGACGCAGCAACGCCGCGUGAGUGAUGAAGCAUUUCGGUGCGUAAAGCUCUGUCAGUGGGGAAGAAACGUGUGGAGAGUAACUGCUCUGCACCUGACGGUACCCGCAGAGGAAGUCCCGGCUAACUCCGUGCCAGCAGCCGCGGUAAUACGGAGGGUGCAAGCGUUACUCGGAAUCACUGGGCGUAAAGCGCGCGCAGGCGGCUAUUUAAGUUGGAUGUGAAAGCCUACGGCUCAACCGUAGAACUGCAUCCAAAACUAUUUAGCUAGAGUGUGGGAGAGGAAGAUGGAAUUAGUUGUGUAGGGGUAAAAUCCGUAGAGAUAACUAGGAAUACCAAAAGCGAAGGCAAUCUUCUGGAACACUACUGACGCUGAGGCGCGAAAGCGUGGGGAGCAAACAGGAUUAGAUACCCUGGUAGUCCACGCAGUAAACGAUGAAUGUUAGUCGUCGGGUAGGAA
rnacentral:rRNA from 1 species